UUCGGGUAUUCCCUUUCUCAAUGAACCAUGUCCCUGACAUGACAAGGGACAUGGUGCAUUGAGAGAGGGAAUACCCGAAAAGUUUG